UGGCAAUAGAGGAGCUCAAAGUGUGCCUUCUCGGGGACACUGGCGUAGGGAAAUCAAGCAUUGUGUAUCGAUUUGCCCAGGAUCACUUUGACCGCAACAUAAGCCCUACCAUUGAGGUAUCUUUUGUGACCAAAACUGCGCCUUCUGGAAAUGACCUUCACAAGUUCCUCAUCUGGGACACUGCUGGCCAGGAACGGUUUCAUUCGUUGGCUCAUGUGCUAUGGAGGAUCGGCUGCAGCUGAUACAGUGCAUGAUGUUACCCAAACAGGAUUCAUUUCAUACAGAUGUUACCCAAACAGGAUUCAUUUCAUGCCUUGAAGAAGUGGGAUAAAGAGCUGAAAGAACAUGGUCCAGAAAACAUUGUAAUGACUAUUACUGAAACAAGUGCCAUCUCUCAGAUAUUAGGGAGUUUCCCCUGAAGGAUGCUGAGGAAUAUGCUGAAUCCGUGGGUGCCAUCAUGGUUGAGACGAGGGCAAAAAAUGCUAUUAAUAUCAAGGUAUCAGCCACCAGAUCUCAUCCUUGGACCCCCACAAAAAUGGAAACAGUGGAGCAAUGAAACUUGGGAAGCAAACCAUGCAAGCCAGCCACAGAUGCUGUUGA
rnacentral:lncRNA from 1 species